AGAUCAUGACUACCUCUAAUUCUUCUUACAUUUCUGUCACAACUUGAAAUGAAGGUGCUUCUGUAGCUUCAAAGGAGAACUGUCCUUGGAAAGCUGGGAGACACAGCAACAUAUACAACAGAGAGUAAAGCCAUACCCAGACUUUUUUCUGCCUUAGAUACUGCACAGAUUUCCUGGUCUACAUCUCCUCAAAGCCAGUAAAGGAGGUUCAUUCAUCAACCUGUUUUCAGUCCAAUUCUUAGCUUCCUUCCUCAAUGGAUUCAGACCAGCACAUGACACUUGCAACUCAUUAACUGCCUCAAAAAUACAGAAGGAAGAAAUGGGGUCUUCAGAUGAAGAAUAGGCUCAUGAGCUGACUGUUGCUGUAAGUUCAAGAACGCAUACCCAACCACCACGCUAGAAGACUGACACCUUGGGCAUUUCAAGAGUCUAGCCUCGGUCGUCCAAGCUCACUUUUUUGCUUUACAAAUGCCUCUUCAAGCCUAUAUUAAAUUGUGCCUGUUUUGGUGCUCCUAAUACAUCUGUGACUCACUUGCUGUUACACAUUUACACCAUACAAAUUCUACAUCUGGUACCACUAAAU
rnacentral:lncRNA from 1 species